rnacentral:miRNA from 1 species
UAAUAUGUCUCAGAAUGUUGU